rnacentral:rRNA from 1 species
UACGGAGGGGGCUAGCGUUGUUCGGAAUUACUGGGCGUAAAGGGCUCGUAGGCGGCCAACUAAGUCGGACGUGAAAUCCCCAGGCUCAACCUGGGAACUGCGUCCGAUACUGGAUGGCUUGAAUUCGGGAGAGGGAUGCAGAAUUCCAGGUGUAGCGGUGAAAUGCGUAGAUAUCUGGAGGAAUACCGGUGGCGAAGGCGGCAUCCUGGACCGACAUUGACGCUGAGGAGCGAAAGCUAGGGGAGCAAACGGG